rnacentral:rRNA from 1 species
UACGUAGGGUGCGAGCGUUGUCCGGAAUUACUGGGCGUAAAGAGCUCGUAGGUGGUUUGUCGCGUCGUCUGUGAAAUUCCGGGGCUUAACUUCGGGCGUGCAGGCGAUACGGGCAAUACUUGAGUGCUGUAGGGGAGACUGGAACUCCUGGUGUAGCGGUGAAAUGCGCAGAUAUCAGGAAGAACACCGAUGGCGAAGGCAGGUCUCUGGGACAUUACUGACACUGAGAAGCGAAAGCAUGGGUAGCGAACAGGAUUAGAUA